rnacentral:rRNA from 1 species
AUGCAUGUGCUUGGCCGAGAAAGAGGGUGGGCUGCCUGCCUGCAUCACCGGUUGUGGUUGUGGUUGACUGCCGGCCGGCCUACCUCGGCCGCCAUUACUGCGGGGAGCAGGCAGCUCGGCUCACGAGGCUGGCGGUCUCACGCUCACGCUCACGGAGGCGUUGUGUUUGGCAGGGAGCGCUUUACGCCACUGAUCUACUCUGCCCGCCUCGAUCGGCCGGCCGCCAUUAAUGAACAGGCUCGGAGACGGCGUGCGUGCAUGCAUGCAGCUACCGGUGGAUCGACGGACGGAUGCCGGGCCGCUCCGGCCGGGGCGGGGCAUUUAAGGCGGCCACGGGCGCAGCUGCGCUACGCUACAGGUCGACGACGGCAGCCGCGCGCAGCAGACCAGAUGGCGUCCGGUCCGGCCAGUCAAGGGUUUGACCGCCACGUCGGGCUCUGA